GAUGAACGCUGGCGGCGUGCCUAAUACAUGCAAGUCGAGCGAAUGGACGAGAAGCUUGCUUUUCUGAUGUUAGCGGCGGACGGGUGAGUAACACGUGGAUAACCUACCUAUAAGACUGGGAUAACUUCGGGAAACCGGAGCUAAUACCGGAUAAUAUUUUGAACCGCAUGGUUCAAAAGUGAAAGACGGUCUUGCUGUCACUUAUAGAUGGAUCCGCGCUGCAUUAGCUAGUUGGUAAGGUAACGGCUUACCAAGGCAACGCUGCAUAGCCGACCUGAGAGGGGGAUAGGCCACACUGGAACUGAGCCACGGACCAGACCCCUACGGGAGGCAGCAGUAGGGAAUCUUCCGCAAUGGGCGAAAGCCUGACGGAGCAACGCCGCGUGAGUGAUGAAGGUCUUCGGAUCGUAAAACUCUGUUAUUAGGGAAGAACAUAUGUGUAAGUAACUGUGCACAUCUUGACGGUACCUAAUCAGAAAGCCACGGCUAACUACGUG
rnacentral:rRNA from 1 species